rnacentral:lncRNA from 1 species
GAUUCAAUUCGUUCAUCUACUUGAUUGAUAACUUAUUUGUGUAUGUUGAUUGAGAGUGCACGCUUAGUUUUUAUGCAUGAAUAUGAUGCUAGAUUAUGAGGGAGUUUCACCUAAUAGUUACAAUCUUAUAAUCACAAGUAGUGAAGGUCGCUUGAAAACGAUCGCGUUGAAUGAAUUCUUGGCAUAAGUUUCAUGCUCAUCAUAGUAACGAAUGCCUCGUCAACACUUAUAGUUCUCAUUGUGCUUCAUGAUUCUUGAUGGUAUCUUUAUUGUGCUCAUCACGUAAGGAACCUUUGAGGAAUGCUUUGAAUUGUUGUAUGCGCUUUUCCA